rnacentral:ncRNA from 1 species
AGAGAACCACAUCUGGCGGUGUCUGGUGCCCCCUCGGAAGCCAUUUAAAAUAUGGAGAACCAAGUAUCGUCCAUUCCCAAUCGUACGCAUAACCGCAUCAGGUCUCCAAGGUGAACAACCUCUAGUCAAUAGAACAAUGUAAAUAAGGGAAGUUGGAAAAAUGGAUCUGUAACUUCAAGAAAAGGAUUGUCUCUGAGGGUUAGGCCUAGGGUUCUACCUCUUCAACCCAUGGGUAGUCUGCAGUCUUCCUGAGCUACUCUCGCAGUGAGGGUGGGUUGUCACAUGUCGAUUGUGCUACGGACAUAGAAUGUCCCCUCGUGGGGUAUUUUCCAUAGGCGGUGAAAAUUUGACUCAGAACUGGUAUGGACAAUGGGAAUCUGACUAUUUAAUUAGAACAAAGCAUUACGAUGAUCCCUGCAGAUGCUGACGCAAUGUGAUUUAUUCCUAGUGUUGUAAAUGUCAAAGUGAAUAAAUUCAACUAAGUGUAGGUAAACAACGGGAGUAACUAUGACUCUAUUAAGGUAUUCAAAUUCCUCGUCAUAUAAUUAUUGACGCACAUGAAUGGAUUAACAAGAUUUGCACUAUCCCUAUCUACUAUCUAUCGAAACCAUAGCCAAGGGAACGGGAUUGGAAGAAUCAAUGGGGAUAUCUCCAUGAACCUUGAAUUAAAUGGU